UACGAAGGGGGCUAGCGUUGUUCGGAAUUACUGGGCGUAAAGCGCACUAGGCGGAUUGUUAAGUUAGGGGUGAAAUCCCAGGGCUCAACCCUGGAACUGCCUUUAAUACUGGCAAUCUCGAGUCCGAGAGAGGUGAGUGGAAUUCCGAGUGUAGAGGUGAAAUUCGUAGAUAUUCGGAGGAACACCAGUGGCGAAGGCGGCUCACUGGCUCGGUACUGACGCUGAGGUGCGAAAGCGUGGGGAGCAAACAGG
rnacentral:rRNA from 1 species